CCGUGGCAGUACCGCUUCCCGCCCUUCUUUACGUUACAGCCGAACGUGGACACCCGGCAGAAGCAGCUGGCCGCCUGGUGCUCUCUGGUUCUGUCCUUCUGCCGCCUGCACAAACAGUCCAGCAUGACGGUGAUGGAAGCCCAGGAGAGCCCGCUCUUCAACAACGUCAAGCUACAGCGGAACCUCGAGUGGUUGGAUAAGAAUAAGUCUAGCUUCCUGAUCAUGUGGCGGAGGCCAGAAGAAUGGGGGAAACUCAUUUAUCAAUGGGU
rnacentral:lncRNA from 1 species